rnacentral:lncRNA from 1 species
GCCUGUAGUGAAGCAGCUCCUGAUGGCAGGAACAUGAGGCAAAGCAAGGCUGCUUACCUAACAAUCAGAGAGCUAAAACUAAGAGGAAAAGGCAUAUGAGUUUCACAGUCACUUUCAAGGGCCUGCCUCCAAAAUACCGUGCAUCUCCAAGUACAACACACCUCCCACAAAGAUCCACAUUCCCAACAACAGCACCAACUGGGGACCAGGCCUUCGAGAGAUAUCUGAGAGUCAAGGCCAUACUACCACCUUGAAUUGAAAAGUACAAAAAUAUGGCCUCCUUUCCCUUGCUGUGUGAUUCAUUUUGCCCACAAACAUAAGCUUAGAGACUACUUAAGCUUUGAGCUGGUGGAAGUUCCACUGUUGAAGCACCUCUCACAAAACAUCCAACUCUUCUCUGAGAG